CCUCUGUCUGUUCUGACCGACUGCUUGCGUGCUAUCGCGAGACUUGCGUACUCCCGGUAGUUCUCACGUGACCUUCGUUGCCUCUUUAAAAAUGGCGCCGUACAGGCUGCCGUAGGAAGCUAGUUGGAGCUACUGCAACAGGUACGCUAUUCAUGUCAUUCCAUUCUGAACCGUACUCCGUAUUAUGACGACUGAUAUGGUUUCAACUUCCAGGAACGUUUGUUCGUGUGUCCAGAGAUUGUGUUUGCACGAUUUGUUGCAUUUAAGAGGGAACUGGCCAGGUUCCAUCUCCACUCGAUCUUGUCCUUCGAUGGUGAGCUGCUUGGAAUCCUCUAUAACUUGUGCGGUAAGAGGUGCAGUGGCCCUGUCCUCUCCCACUUAACACCUCGCAUUGCCUCUACUAAAGACACAGUGCAUCUCUUUUUUCCUGGACAAUAAGAUCGGGACUAAAUUCUCUGAGUUACAGCGAUCAGCUGGGACCUCAUGAACUCUUUGAACAUUUGUAGACGUCUUGUGUGUUUGUGUGUUGUUGUAUAUGUAUAUAUUGUAAAUGUCUUUUGGGGUCAACUAUAUAAAUUUUCACUCCUGCACCGUA